UUGUGCUUUUACCUGUCUCCUAGCUGCAGACAUGCAGCCUCAGUGGAUGCCAUGUGGGAAGAAGAGGAAGCUUCUAGACCAGCUGGAGGAGCAUGGUCUCUGUGUGGAGCUCUGAGAUGAGAGCAGAGUUUCUGGACCACAGCUGAGAAGUUCCUUCACUCCAUUCAUGCCUUCUUCAUGCCGUACUCACUGUAUACUCAUAGUACUGUAUGUAAUGUAAUACAAGUAACAUUA